AUUGAACGCUGGCGGCAUGCCUUACACAUGCAAGUCGAACGGCAGCACGGGAGCUUGCUCCUGGUGGCGAGUGGCGAACGGGUGAGUAAUACAUCGGAACGUACCCUGAAGUGGGGGAUAACGUAGCGAAAGUUACGCUAAUACCGCAUAUUCUGUGAGCAGGAAAGAGGGGGAUCGCAAGACCUCUUGCUUUAGGAGCGGCCGAUGUCGGAUUAGCUAGUUGGUGAGGUAAAGGCUCACCAAGGCGACGAUCCGUAGCGGGUCUGAGAGGAUGAUCCGCCACACUGGGACUGAGACACGGCCCAGACUCCUACGGGAGGCAGCAGUGGGGAAUUUUGGACAAUGGGCGCAAGCCUGAUCCAGCCAUGCCGCGUGAGUGAAGAAGGCCUCGGUUGUAAGACUCUUCGGUUGGGGAAGGAAAGUUAG
rnacentral:rRNA from 1 species